UACGGAGGGGGCGAGCGUUGUUCGGAAUCAUUGGGCGUAAAGGGCGCGUAGGCGGCCCCGUAAGUCAGAUGUGAAAGCCCUUGGCUUAACUGAGGAAUUGCAUCUGAGACUGCGGGGCUUGAGUCCGGGAGGGGAGAGUGGAAUUCCCAGUGUAGCGGUGAAAUGCGUAGAUAUUGGGAGGAACACCGGUGGCGAAGGCGGCUCUCUGGACCGGUACUGACGCUGAGGCGCGAAAGCUAGGGGAGCAAACGGG
rnacentral:rRNA from 1 species